GACGAACGCUGGCGGCGUGCUUAACACAUGCAAGUCGAACGGAAAGGCCCUGCUUUUGCGGGGCGCUUGAGUGGCGAACGGGUGAGUAACACGUGAGUAACCUGCCCUUGACUUUGGGAUAACUUCAGGAAACUGGGGCUAAUACCGGAUAGAAGCUCCUGCUGCAUGGUGGGGGUUGGAAAGUUUCGGCGGUUGGGGAUGGACUCGCGGCUUAUCCGCUUGAUGGUGGGGUAGGGGCUUCCCAAGGUUUUGACGGGUAGCCGACCUGAGAGGGUUGCCAGCGACCUUGGGACUACGGUACGGCCCAGUAUCCUACGGUACGCAGCGGGCGGGAGUCUUGCGCAAUGAGCGGGAGCCAGAGACAGAGGCGCCGGGAGCGGAAUAACGGCCUACGGGUUAAAAACAGCUUUCGCCUGUGACGAAGCGUGAGUGACGGUAAUGAAUAAAAAAGCACCGGCUAACUACGUG
rnacentral:rRNA from 1 species